CCUACGGGAGGCUGCAGUCGAGAAUCAUUCACAAUGGGGGAAACCCUGAUGGUGCGACGCCGCGUGGGGGAAUGAAGGUCUUCGGAUUGUAAACCCCUGUCAUGUGGGAGCAAAUUAAAAAGAUAGUACCACAAGAGGAAGAGACGGCUAACUAUGGGCCAGCAGCCGCGGUAAUACAGAGGUGUCAAGCGUUGUGCGGAAUCACUGGGCGUAAAGCGUGCGUAGGCGGUUUGGUAAGUCAUGGGUGAAAGGCGCGGGCUCAACCCGCGGACUGCACAUGAUACUGCGAAACUAGAGUGAUGGAGGGGUAGGCGGAAUGCUCGGUGUAGCAGUGAAAUGCGUAGAUAUC
rnacentral:rRNA from 1 species